rnacentral:rRNA from 1 species
AUGUAUCAUUUUAUUUUGAUCUUGUCAGAUCUCACAAGCAAAGUACAUUUAGGGCUGGUCAGUAUUUGGAUGAGAGAUUUCGAAGGAAAAUCCAGCCAUGGUGCUCC